AUUGAACGCUGGCGGCAUGCUUUACACAUGCAAGUCGAACGGUAACAGGCCUUCGGGUGCUGACGAGUGGCGAACGGGUGAGUAAUGCAUCGGAACGUACCCAGAGGUGGGGGAUAACGCAGCGAAAGCUGUGCUAAUACCGCAUGUGAUCUGAGGAUGAAAGCGGGGGACCGAGCAGCAAUGUUUGGCCUCGCGCCUUUGGAGCGGCCGAUGUCGGAUUAGCUAGUUGGUGGGGUAAAGGCCUACCAAGGCGACGAUCCGUAGCUGGUCUGAGAGGACGACCAGCCACACUGGGACUGAGACACGGCCCAGACUCCUACGGGAGGCAGCAGUGGGGAAUUUUGGACAAUGGGCGCAAGCCUGAUCCAGCAAUGCCGCGUGCAGGAAGAAGGCCUUCGGGUUGUAAACCGCUUUUGGCAGGAACGAAACGGUGUCCGCUAAUACCGGGCGCUAAUGACGGUACCUUCAGAAUAAGCACCGGCUAACUACGUG
rnacentral:rRNA from 1 species